UACAGGGGGUGCAAGCGUUGCUCGGAAUCAUUGGGCGUAAAGCGCACGUAGGCGGUUCGUUAUGUCGGAUGUGAAAGCCCUUGGCUUAACCGAGGAAGUGCAUCCGAAACUGACGAGCUUGAGUGCCGGAGAGGGUCGCGGAAUUCCCGGUGUAGAGGUGAAAUUCGUAGAUAUCGGGAGGAACACCAGUGGCGAAGGCGGCGACCUGGACGGACACUGACGCUGAGACGCGAAAGCGUGGGGAGCAAACAGG
rnacentral:rRNA from 1 species